CAUAAAUGUUUGACAUGCAAGAAAGUCCGCCGAGCUGAGUAGCGCCAGCUUGUGACCCAUGUGGGGGCGCCAAGGUGAUGGAACAUGGCUGUGGCUUAACAGGUUGGUCUGGUGUUUGCACCAUGCUGGCCUGCCCGCUCCAAGUUGUGAGUUGAUCCAUGGGACUUGAGCGAAGGCACUAGUCUUGUGGGUCUUAGACAGGAGGGUACAGCGUGAGGCUGGUUUCACAGAGCAGCGAAUACUUCCUACUCCUGACAGUGGAGGGAUAUUUGAAGUUUUACCAGCAAUAUUUACUGCACUUUUUAUUGGUUUGGGUGGGAUUGUGCAUUGAAUCAGUUUCCUUAUUUUCACUUUGGGGGAAAUUUCUAUCUAGUACAUGAUUAAUGAAAUGAGUUUUUUUUUAUUCAAUUGGGUCUUUCAUGUCUAGCCUUAUAACUCCUUUAGUAUUUGUGAAUGUUUUAGCUUAAAUUACUUUGAUUUAUAAACAUCAUGAUCCGCACCCCUCUCGUGUCCUUUAUAAACAUCAUGAACUUGCUGUUUUUAUGUCCAUAUGUUUAUACGUAGUAGAUAGAGCUUUGUUAUCAUUUGUUUAAACAAGUCAUUUCUAAUAAUCUCUAUAUGGUAUCAACAGCAAGUUCAUAGUCUAGAGGCUGGUGAUAUUUUCUUGGAGACUUUUCUGUCUAACAUGCUCUAUCUGCUGCUAUGGUUGGUGAAAUUUUCAUAUAAUCCAUUUAACCUUAUCAAUAUAUUAAUAAAGCAAUAAAAUUUUCAAACAGAUUCAAGCUGCACUUCCUACACUUGGAGAAGCUCUAAAUUCUGGUUUUGAAGACUUUAUGGGUUACCUAUAACUCUAUAAGCUACAAUAUCAUCAUUACUAGAUAAGCUGCCUAACACCAUUGUUGUUUAACAAAAAAUCAGAACUGAUCCUGACCUUGCAAAUGCUAAAUAAGCUGCCUGACACUGUUGUUGUUUAACAAAGCCAGAAUUUGAAGAAGCAACAUUCACAAGUUAUAAUGUUGCUUGUUGAUACUCUAAGCUAAACCAGGUAUGCAUUUCACUCUUUCUUCAUUGGUUUUAGAUCAUUUUGUUGAGUGUGUUUAGUCUGCGCAUAACUUUUUGAAUAUAUUUAAUCCUUUUAUAUAUGUUGUGACUAAUCCGGUCCAAUAAUCCCUCGAUAUAUGUAUUAUAACAUUUAAGAAACCAUGUUCCAACUUAAUCCUACACUAUUUUGGAUCCAUUUGAGUCCUACGUUGGCUAGAACAUCACACAAGAAAGUAUUUAUAAAUGUCUGACAUGCAAGUAAGUCCGCCGAGCUGAGUAGCGCCAGCUUAUGACCCAUGUGGGGGCACUAAGGUCAUCACAUGGCUAAGGUUUAACAGGUUGGUCUGGUGUUUGCACCAUGCUGGCAUUCCCGCUCCAAGUUGCGAGUACUUCCUACUCUUGACAGUGGAGGGAUAACGAGCUGCUGCAUCUCCAGACCAUAACACUUGGUGAGCCUAGCCCCUUGGACCAUGGGGUAUACCAUUGAAAAUUUGUCUUGGAAUGCCUACUUGGUUGUGAAUCACUAUUGCCUCUAGUUUUGCUUGUAGUUUCAUUGACUUUUUCCUUGGACUCACUGAUAGAUUUUUACCACUAAUAACAUUCCUAAUCUUUGAUAAAAUAUUUGAAUUUUUACCAGCAAUAUUUACUGCACUUUUUAUUGGCUUGUGUGGGAUUGUGCAUUGAAUCAGUUUCCUUAUUUUCACUUUGGGGAAAUUUCUAUCUAAUACAUGAUUAAUGAAAUUAGUUUUUUUUUUUUUUGGAUUCAAUUGGGUCUUUCAUGUCUAGCCUUAUAACUCUAAAAAUUGUGAAUAUUUUAGCUUAAAUUUCAUUGAUUUACAAACAUCAUGAUACAUACCCCUCUUGGAUCCUUUCUCGUAUGAUCCCCAAUUUCACCUACAAUUUUAUGUGCGUCCACUUGCUACAGAACCGCUCCACGUUCGUGCUUCUAGUUCUAAUCAUUCCUCUCAAGUUUGACAUUCUCCUUCAAAGGACUCAAUCAAAAUGUUAGACUAAGUGGUGUUUCCUUAUGUCAAAUAACUACUCCAAAAUUUGCACCGAAGCUAAACUUGAUUGUCCAAUCUAAUGAGAUUCUAGCAUUUUGAUUAAAAAAAUGGAACAUUUUCAUAAUAUAAAAAAAAUACCAUACAAAUAUGCACAAUUUGACAAAAUUUAUAUACAGAACUAAAUACUAAUACUAAAUGUAUGAAUGACUUGACUUUAAAUGAAUGACUUGACUUUAGAAAAUUGGACAUAACUAGUUAUGAGUGUAACAUUGAUAUUAAAAUAGGAGGGGGCCGCGCGUACGCAGGCCCCCACAGCAACAAAUUAUGAGGUAGGUUCCACCACUUGGGUAGACCUUAGGAUGGCACCCCUCCUAAGUGCAAUGGAGGUCACUCUCCUAGGCCAUGGGCCUUCAUGAUCACCCAUUGACCCCAUCCAGGUAAGUAAUUAAUAGUAAAGGUAUUCAAGUUCUUUUAUACUCUUACUAAUCUCAAUACAUAUCAUCUUCUUUUGAUGUGGGACUCAAUUACUAGUAGGCAAUGUAUUUCCCAACUUUUGCAAGAUUGAUCGACAAAAAGGUGCCGCGGGUAUUGAUUGCCGGUGGUGUAACGUGGAGUCGGAGACAGCAGAGUGCUGCUGCAGUGUAAUAAGAUAAUUCAGACUGCUUUUAAUAGGAACAUGGGAGAGAAAAUCUUUUACAUAUUAAGUGCACUGCAAAAGGAGAAAAGGAGUAUCUUUGCUAUGAUAUUAUGGAGUUUGUGGAAGAGUAGGAAUUCAUCAAUCUGAGAGAGCAGCAAAUGUGAUACACGAAGGAUAGGCAAUGUAUUUCCUUACUCGUUUAAGAUUGAAAUGCCAUAAAGAACACAAUGAAAGGGUUUCCUAGGCCCUUGAUAGAUCUAAGCAAAUCAUCAUUUACUAAGGUGAUGGACAAAGCCUUUGGACCUCCACCUCUGCACCCUGCUUCUGAUUCAUAUGCAAAUGAUACCAACUUUCUGCUUGCAUCUUAUUUGAUUCCUUAUGUUAAUCUUACUGGAUAUGUUGGAGCCAAUUUACUCUUUCAAAAUGCUACAUUUAAUCAGGUCUUCUAGGACUUGAUUCAGGCCAAGAUGCAGUUACUAUUUGAACUAAGUUUGGUGGGGUGCGCCAGCAAUUGCUAUAGUGCAAGGCAAGAGCGACAUGUGAGAGACCCAAUAGCAAGCUAUUGUGGUGGACUCUCCCCCUAAAGAAAUAAAUUUAAUAUCGUAUGGACCAUUGGCCCACAUAUCAAAUAUUAAACUGAUAAGAACAGAUACUACACUUGAUCUUAGCCAAAAGGCCGAGAAAGGAAAGAUAGAAACAGGUGGUGAGUUAACUAAUAAGAUCAUCAGAGUUGAGGUGAACUCUGCUGUAGUUACUAACAGAGAGAGGAAAAUUCAAAGGCAAAACUACUUAGAAAAACGAAUUGAAAGAGCACCGAGAAAAGGAUGGGAGGAAAGGCUUACUAGUACACGGGUAAAACUCUACUACUCAAUAAAAUUGUGUUCUUUCCGAAGCUCUUUGGUUAAUCUUCCCUUUCUAGUUUUCAUUUAUUCCAUUUAUCUUAGAAUAUUAGUCCAUGUUUACUUUACUUGCUAACAAAGAGAUAAUAGACUUUUAUUGUGACAAUUAUGUGUAUUUUUUGAAAAUAACGAAAACGCUAAUUAAUUAUUUUUACUAUUUUCUCAAAAUGCAUCAAUCCUAGCUAGAUUUUGUGAAUUGGGAUUUCUUGAGAAGCAUGUGUAGGAAAGUUGGGCUUGGUCAAAGGUGGAUGCAGUGGUUAGAAGCGGGUGUGUUCAGUAGUUGCAUGUCUGUGUUAGUCAAUGGAAGCCUGACGGAGGAGUUUUUAGUUAAAAGGGGUUUUAGACAAGGUGAUCCACUGUCUCCAUAUUUGUUCACAAUCGUAGCAGAAGGUCUGGCAGGCAAUAGAUGUGGGUAUGUUUAAGCUAUUUUAAAGUGAAUAACAGAUUCUCAUUUUCUGCUCAAAAGUGAUUUCUUUUAUGCAAAGAUGAGUAGUAGCUCUCAUUUUCUACAGAUUCUCUGCAGCAUCAAAUUUAAAUAAGUAACAACCCUUGGCAUUUCAUUUUUGUUUAAAAUUCAGCCAGAUUUUGUUAAUAUAAGACAAUAAUUUUUAAGUAUUACAUUUGAUAGUAUAAGAUUGAAUCUAGAGUUUUCUGAAAUGCUAUAAACAAAACCCAUCUGUUAAGAAUUAUGAAAUACAUCAUGACAACCAAGUCCUAAAUCCUCAAAGCAGUGGCAGCUGAAAAACAUCUGAAGUAAGCUAAUUGCAUAUCCACAGAAAAACAUCUGAAAUGCAUCAUGACAACCAAGUCCUAAGACCCUUAUUGUUUAACAGAAAAUCAGAACUGAUCCUGACCUUGCAAAAGCUAAAUAGGCUCCCUAACACUGUUGUGUUUAACAAAGCCGGAAUUUGAAGAAGCACCAUUCAUAAAUUAUAAUGUUGCUUGUUGAUACUCUAAGCUAAACCAGGUAUGCAUUUCACUCCUUCGUUGGUUUUAGAUCAUUUUGUUGAGUGUAUUUAGUCUGCGUGUAACUUUUUGAACAAAUUUAAUCCUUUUAUAUAUACGUUGUGACUAAUUCGGACCUAUAUAUGUAUUAUAACAUCAACCACAACAUUUUUUAGUGUUAUAAUAUUUAAGGAACCAUGUUCCAGCUUAAUACUACAUUAUUUUGGAUCCAUUUGAGCCCCACAUACUUUAUAAAUGUCUGACAUGCUAUUAAUUCUGCCGAGCUGAGUAGCGCCAGCUUGUGACUCAUGUGGGGGCACCAAGGUGAUGGAACAUGGCUAAGGCUCCACAGGUUGGUCUGUGUGAUUACACCAUGCUGGCCUGCCCUCUCCAAGUUGCGAGUUGAUCCACAGGACUUGAGCAAAGGCACUAGUCUUGUGGGUCUUAGACAGGAGGGUAUAGUGCGAGGCUGAAUUAUAGAAACUACUCUAAUUGAUAAAUAGUUUAUUUAAAUUUUUAAUGAUGAUUUAGUAAUAUACCAUUGAAAAUUUACCUUGAGCUUUAUAAGGCCCCUAACAAAUAUCUGAUGGAGCUUUAUAGGACCUCCACACCCCCGUUAUCAGUGUAUAUCUAUUAAUACAUUGUAAGUCACUACCUCCCCAAAUUUCCUAAUCUUUGAUAAAAUAUUUGAAUUUUUACCAGGAUUAUUUACUGCACUUUUUUAUUGGCUUGGGAUUAUGCAUUGAUUCCUUAUUUUCACUUUGGGAAAUUUCUAUCUAAUACAUGAUUAAUGAAAUGAGUAUUUUUUGGAUUCAGUUGGGUUAGCCUUACAACUCCUUAAAAAUUGUGAAUGUUUUAGCUUUGAUUUCUUUGAUUUACAAACAUCAUGAUACAUACCCCUCUUGGAAACUUGAAUGUCCAAUCAAAUGAGAUUUGAAGAGUUAGAAGGGUAACUUUGUUAUUAGAAUAGGAGGGGGCUGCGCAGACGCAAGCCCCCACUGCAACAAAUUAUGAUGUAGGUUCCACCUCUUGGGUAGACCUUAGGAUGGCACCCCUGGAGGUCACUCUUCUAGGCCAUGGGCCUUCAUGAUCAACCAUUGGUAAGUAAUUUACAAUGAAGGUAUUAAAGUUGUUUUGCACUCUUGCUUAUCUCAAUAUCUUUCAUCUUCUUUCAAUAUGGGACUCAACUACUAGUAGGCAAUGUAUCUCCCAACUUGUGUAAGAUUGAUCGACAAAAGGGUGCACACUUGUAUUGAUUGUCGGUGGUGUAACAUGGGAGUUGGAGACCACAAAGCAUGUGCUACUGUAGUGUGAUAAGAGCAUUCACACUUCUGCUAAAUAGGAACAUUGGAGAGAAAAAUAUUCACUUAUUAAAUGCACCGUCAAAUGAGAAAAUGAGUAUAUGUGCUAUGAUAUUAUGGAGUUUGUGGAAGAGUAGGAAUUCAUCAAUUCGUAACAAUAACAGAGAGAGCAGGUAAUACUCAAAGGAUAGGCAAUGUAUUUCUUAACUUAAUGAAAGAGUUUCCUAGGCCUUUGAUAGAUCUAAGCAAAUCAUCAUUUGCUAGGGGAUUGACUGACAGAGCCUUUGGAGUUUGGACAACCACCUCUGCACCCUCCUUUUGAUCCAUAUGCAAAUGAUGUCAAAUUCGGGCUUGCAUCUUAUUUUAUUCCUUGUCUUGCUGGAUAUGUUGGAGCCUACCCACUCCUUCAAAAUGCUACCUUAAAAUAGGUAUAAUAUUCCUUGUCUUGCUGGAUAUGUUGGAGCCUACCCACUCCUUCAAAAUGCUCUUUCUGGUGACAUGUUCACUAUCAUAAGAAAACAUGGUUGUUAAUAGAAUAAGAAUCACAAAAAUAAAACAGAGAAAAUAUAAGUAUAACAGUAGUGAAUUCUGUAGAGAGAGAUAAAAUUGAACUAGGUUUGGUGGGGUGCGCCAGCAAUUGCUAUAGUGCAACGCAAGAGCGACACAUGAAAGCCCCAAUAGCAAGCUAUUGUGGUGGACUCUCACCCUCAAGAAAUAAAUUUAAUAUCGUGUGAACCAUUGGCCCACAUAUCAGAUAUUAAACUGAUAAGAACAGAUACUACACUUGAUCUUAGCCAAAAGGCCGAGAAAGGUAUGAAUUGAAAUAAAUGUUUGUUGUGUUAUAUGUAUCAGACAUAUUUUAUUCUCUUUGCUAACUCGGUGAUAUGGUACUUAAAUACAACAAUUUGAGUCUACUCAUGUUCCUGUCAACACAACUGUGAUAUAGCUUGCAGAAUAUGGAGUAGGACAAUAUAAACAAUUCGGCAAACAAUUGGGUUGUUACUCAUGAAAAUGCAAAAGAAAUAUGGUUAUAUUAUUGUGUAUGCAUUUUUGCUAUGUUUUCCCUUCCCUCGUUGUGAAUUUAGCUCGUGGAUCCUUCAACCAUGGUUUCCAUUUUUUCCGCAUGGAAGAUAGAAACCGGUGGUUAGUUAGCUGAGAAGGAGAUCAUCAGAUCAUUUGAGAGAAAUUCUAGCGUAGUUAUUAACAUAAUCUGGGAAAUUCAAGUAAGUUUCAUGAUGUUAUUAAAGCAGCAAAUUUGUACUAGUUCUUAAUCUAUCAAAUCCUGUUAUGCAAGUGUUUUCUCUUUUAUAGAAAGAUGUCACCACUUUAUUUUCACGUGGGGUUACAACCAUUUUUAUUAAUCAAACUUGUAAAAGUUUCAGAUGCAAAGCUAAAUUAGUAUUGGAGGGGCGAAAUUUUUUUUGGCUUGGAUUGUCCAAGUGAAAAAUCACUGGAUGAAAUAAAGUGCAGAUCGUCAUCACUGAAUCAUUUUGAACUAGUAAUGUCAUUAUAAAUAACAAUUAUACACAUAAUUAAGACUAAAAAAAGUUAAUUGAGGGAUCUGCUUAGGAUUUAAGAAAAAUUACAAAAGAGGUGAGUAUUUUCUACAUACAUAUAUUAGGUCAUCAAAAUUAGGCUUGAAAAAUCUUCUAUUGCAGACAUAUAUAUAAUUGUCUAGAUUCAGCAUCGAGGUUUUAUACUUUUAUUAUAAGUAUUUAUGACUUCUUCAACAUCUCUGCAUCAUAAGCAAUGACUCUAGCAGCAACCUAGAUAUGGUUCAUCAAUAUGUACUCAACAUCAUAUUUGCAAUAGAACCCAGAUGUGUUCAGCAUCAGACCAUAUUUUUCUAGGUACCUUAAAGUGUUGUCCAACCUAUGCCACAUAGUUUGGUAGGGGUGCCAAUUACAGUCUCUUACAGGUAAUUUAUGGUACUUCAGUGUUGCAACUUUUGCUCUAGUCACCUGUAAUGAAUUAUCAAAAUUUUCUAUUUGGGCAUUGUUUGGAAAUAAAAAAGAUUGAAUUCCUAGUCUUAUCACUCAAUUGUUAAAAAGUUCUUUUUUCUACCACUUAAAAAAAUGUUACAGUGAGUGCAUAAAUGAGAAAUAUUGCAAUAACAUGAUUUAUUAGGGUUGAUUUUUUUGUUGAUACGAUGAAUAUUAUGUUAUAAAUCAGGUCAUGUAUUAUUUAAUAUAUUAUUUAAUAUAUUAUUUGUUAAAUUUUAAUUUUACCUAAAUAAUAAAGCUAUUCCAAUGGUAGAAAAAGAGAUAUCAGUUGAGCAAUAGUAUCUAAAAUGCAUGUCAAAUUAUAUACAUAAACACAUGUGUUUUGUGACCCAAUGUAGAUAUACUUUUGGCCAGUGCUGUAAAUUUGAAGGAAACAACAUCAAGCUAAAUAUUAAAUUAUUGAGAAUAGAUCCUCUCCAAUUUUUUCUAUUCAGCUCCUAUUUUGCUCUAAAUUCAACGGUUGUUAAACAAGAAAAUAAUAAUGACAUAGAAGAGAGGUAAGCACAUAAUGUAAUCUAAGGCUAUGUUUGGGAAUUUGGAGGGGACGUGAGGGGAAGGCUUUAAAAAAUAGGAAGAAUUGGGUGAAAAGGAUAAAAAGAUUUUGGGUAGGAGGGUUUUGGAGGAUUUGAGUUUAUUAAUAACACCAAAAACCCCAUAAAAUGGGGGAACUCAAAAAUUGUAUUGAAUGAGGGUUUUGGAGGGUUUUGAAGGAAUUACAUAAAUUUUUCAAAUAUCUUUUAGGUUGUUAUAGUAUUCUGAAAAUUAAAAAUUUAGUAAUGAUAAUGAUUCUUUUAUCAUUCUAAAUUAAAUUAUUUUUUCAAAAAAUGUCAAAUAUUCUCUUAUAUUUUUUUAAAUUUUCAUUUUUUGAAGUCCUCCCCUCCCUUCCAAACUCCCAAACAUAACCUAAAGGUUACAAUGAUGGCUGAACAAAGGGCGAGAGAAAAAAAGCUACAGAGGACCCAUAACCUAAAUUAUUAAUAUGCUCUCGAGCCAGAGUACUUCCGUAAUAAUUAUAGAUUAUAAGAUCAAAUACCUGAAAUUUAGCAUUUAUAUAUAUUUUAAGAUAUAGCAAUGUAAGUAUUUGGUAAACAAAACCAAAGAUAAUUUAAAAUACAGCAAUGCUAUUUUUCCACUUUUUUCUACACCAAACACUUAUAUCGUAUACAUUGUUCACCGUAUUUAUACGGUGAAUAAUAUUUUUCUAUCAAAAUAAUAUUAUUUUUAAAAUUGAUUUUAUAACAAAAUAGAAGAUUGCGUCAUUAACUAACUUCACAAGUGUAUUAAUCACGAAAAUAUACAUUAUGAACUACUUUUUUUUUAU